GCUCGCGUUUUCCCUUCGGGUUCACGCCCCCGCUCUGAACACCACCGCCCCCGGUACCCACUGCUGCUACUCUACCCUGCUAAAGCAGCGGCGCCGCUCGCCCCGCGUUCGUCGCCUCCGUUCGAAAUCCCGUUCGAUCUCCGGCCUCUCGCCGCACGGAAUCUCUCUCCUAGGCUGCGCGCCGGGCGGGGACGCCGGAUUCGGGAUCAUCCAGGUGCGGCGGCGCUCCAUCUGUAGGAUAACUAUGGCCCAGUUUACCAGUGCUUAUAGUUUGAAGUUAGGUUCAUACCAAAACAGAGUGAACUAAUAUUUUCAUCUUCGAAUUGUGACUUCGGAGGGGAAAUCUUGUUCAUGGCAACGGCAUAAUUUUCCAUUUUUGCCACCUGUUAUUUUGAGCUGAGACAUUAUGUAUAGCAAAGAAACCUGCAAGAGACCACAUCAGCUUGAGAAACUUGAGAUUGGCAGGAGAGGAGAAGAAGAUAAAGCAUCUCAUAACCCUGAACUAGAAGAAGGUGAGUUCAGGAAGGAUGAACCAAGUGUUGUAAAGUUGCGUUCAUCUGCUCCAAUUUCACCUGAAAGAGGUUCCUAUCAAGGAGGAAUUGCAAAUACUGUUAUGCCGUCUAAGUAUAGUUCAAUAAGGGAUCAAUCUGUUAAUGUGAGGCAAUCAAGUUCUCAUAGAAUGUACUCUAAGAUACACCGUCAGAGUUAUUCUCCAUCUUCCUAUAUUGGAUCAAAAGAAAGGCAUGAGCAAAGGGUGCGAAACUGUUUUAGCUACCAUGAUUAUCACCAUGUCCUGAAAAAGAUUGAGGAAGUUUGUUCGGAAAGGCUCGGUAAACUAUUGUCACAUCAGAAUAAAGAUCGCAUGGAAUUCAAUAUUACACUAAAGAAACUGGGAUUCAAAUUCUUCCAAGAACAUGCUUGUUCCUAUAGAGUUCAUUAUGAGCGUGUCAUACCAACAGCAAGAUAUCACAGGAUGAAGCUACCGAAGCUAGCUUUCUGCAUUUUGCGUAAGGUUUUUCAUAGAUAUAUGCAGUCCCAGAUUAUAAAAUUUGUUAAGCUACAAAUAAAGGAUAGAAACAAAGAGAAGAGAAUAAAAGAGCGAUGGAUAUAUGAGGCUACAGCUGGCUACCUUAAGAAAUGUUUUGCUGAAACUUCCUUGGCAUAUUCUGGAUUUGAGGUGGAGAAAUUAAAUUGUCAUGUGCAUGCUUAUUCUGAAGGUGAACAACAGCUCAAUUAUUUGGACAUGCAACAUCUGACUAUUGGAAUUGAAGAAAUUGCUUCCAGUAGAGAACUUGAAGGAAGCCAUACAAAUAAGGAGAGUGAUAUGUUUCAGCCAGAGCCAGUUAUAGAAAACUUACAAUCACCACUAGAAACAAAUGGAGGUGCAGAGCAUUGUUUAUCUGUUGAUGCACUAGAAGAAAUUGCUAUUGUAGGCAUGUCUUCUCAGUCCAACUAUGCACCUACCAUGGAGAGUGAAAAAGUUGGGACACAAGUCACCCUCUCGUCGCCACCACAAAACAAGGGGGAAAUUAUGGAGAGAUCAUGUUCUCAGUUUGCCACUGAUGAACCAUUGGUACUUGAUAAGGCAACAUCAGCUGAUUCAGAAAAUGCAACUCUAGUCUUUGGAGAGAACCGAAGCUGUACAAGUCCUGCUGUUCAUGCACUUGAAGGCUCUUGUUCUAGGUCCAAGAGAAAAUUUCCUCACGGGUCUGACUCUAAUAAUCAUGAAUCAACAUUGUGUCUUCAGGAAUCUCAAGUGGAAAGGCUGCCUUCAGUUACUGCGAAUCCAAUGCAAGAAGCUGAUAUUGCAGGUAGCAAGGAAGUAUCUAGUGGUGACACCUCUUCCUUUGGCCAAGUCACUGAACAGCGAAGCACCAUUGCAGCUUCAUCAACAUUAGUUCAACCUUCAACACAACCACAACUUUAUGAUCCAACUUCUCAAAGUGCUGCCCAGCUGUAUCAACCAUCUGGUGUGAAUACUUUUUCAGUAUGCACUGGGUUAGACAGCCAUGGGGCAUUAAAUUCUCAGAUACAAUCAGCUAACCAGAUGACGCCAAGCUCCAUGGUUGAGCAUACACCUGAAAGUGGGCUCCAGUCAGAUCCAGUUACCAAUGAGUUUACUCAACUUCUUAUGUCGAUUAGCAAUCACACCUCUUCCUAUACCCAAGUUACUGAGCAGCAAAUUGCCUCUAAUUCAUUCUUAAGACAACAAUAUGGUGUCCAGACCUGUCAAACUUCUAGUCAUCAGCACAGAGCAUCAAAUGUUCAGCGACAAUCAAACAACCAGACAACAGGCUCCACUUCUGGACUGCCUGAAAGCCGUCUUCAAUCAGAUCCAUUAAAAAUUGAAAUGAAUCAAUUGCUUAUGCUGCAUGAUAUAAUGACCAAGAGGCAUCUAUGUAAGUGUUUCCGCUUGGAUUUGCUCAGCGGCAAAAAAUCAUCUUGGAUUGUCAAAUGGAGGUGGCUGAAGUUAAAAGGAAGUUUGAUGAGCAAUUCCAUAAUUUAGAUAUGGAAUGGUUGCAGAAAAAGAAGAAUAUUGAGAUACUCCAGGAGAAAAUAUGUAAGCAACAGAUAGUAGCGGAGGCAUUUCAGGCUCUACAUAAGGCCUCUACUGGAGUUGCUUCAUGCAGUCAAAUAGGUGCACCUACGAGAGAGCCUAAUCAGCCAUCAGGGCAGCAAGUUCUGCAGUUUUCUUCAUCUGCAAGCAUGUACUGUCACCUCAACAUGCAGCGCAACCAUCCACAAACAACUUCCUAAGACUGCCUGUUAUGACCUUGCCACAGGCUGUAGCUAACACAUCUGGCAGAUCUGCAACUAGUUUAACACAUGGUCCAAGUGGUCUGAUGGGCGCUGGAGCUGCAUACCAUGCACCUCCUCCUCAUCUCCAAGCCUUUGCAAAUUUGUUGCGACCUUCUCAUGCAACCUGACUGUCUACCCGUGGACUUCAGCUGACUUAGAAAGUUAGAAGUCGUGUUUCCUCUUGGAUUUUGAUGAGAGAGCGGUGUCAAACUGAAUAGUUGUUUGGUUUGCAUGCUGUUCAUCAGAUUAACAGUCUGUUGAUUUCAGCACUUUCCACUAGUUGCUGCCUGAUCAGUCACUGCGUAUGUUUCUGGUUAAACUCAAUCGUGAAACCAGAAUUUUGCAGCUGACCCUGGUUCUCUGUUCUCCAGACUGGAGUUCGAUCUAACUGGUUCAACUAGAUUCUGUCUCAUGUUGGUAAAUGUACCUUAAUAGUUUGGAGUCGCAGAAGACAUAAGAAAGUUUCUUCUAAGUUUAACUGAGUUAUGCUUUUAUA